rnacentral:rRNA from 1 species
UAGCGUAGGGUGCAAGCGUUGUCCGGAAUUAUUGGGCGUAAAGAGCUCGUAGGUGGCCUGUCGCGUCGGCUGUGAAAACUCGGGGCUCAACUCCGAGCUUGCAGUCGAUACGGGCAGGCUAGAGUUCGGCAGGGGAGACUGGAAUUCCUGGUGUAGCGGUGAAAUGCGCAGAUAUCAGGAGGAACACCAAUGGCGAAGGCAGCUCGCUGGGACGGUACUGACGCUGAGACGCGAAAGCGUGGGGAGCAAACAGG